AACGAACGCUGGCGGCAGGCUUAACACAUGCAAGUCGAACGGACGUAGCAAUACGUAGUGGCAGACGGGUGAGUAACGCGUGGGAAUAUGCCCUUUAGUUCGGAAUAACCAAGGGAAACCUUGGCUAAUACCGGAUAAGCCCGAGAGGGGAAAGAUUUAUCGCUGAAGGAGUAGCCCGCGUCUGAUUAGCUAGUUGGUGAGGUAAUGGCUCACCAAGGCGACGAUCAGUAGCUGGUCUGAGAGGAUGAUCAGCCACACUGGGACUGAGACACGGCCCAGACUCCUACGGGAGGCAGCAGUGGGGAAUAUUGGACAAUGGGGGCAACCCUGAUCCAGCCAUGCCGCGUGAGUGAUGAAGGCCUUAGGGUUGUAAAACUCUUUUAUCCGGGAAGAUAAUGACUGUACCGGAAGAAUAAGCCCCGGCUAACUUCGUGCCAGCCGCCGCGGUAAUAC
rnacentral:rRNA from 1 species